rnacentral:rRNA from 1 species
UAAUACGUAGGGAGCAAGCGUUGUCCGGAAUUACUGGGCGUAAAGGGCGCGUAGGCGGGGAUUUAAGUUAGAUGUGAAAACACCGGGCUUAACUUGGUGACUGCAUUUAAAACUGGAUUUCUUGAGGGCAGGAGAGGAAAGUGGAAUUCCUAGUGUAGCGGUGAAAUGCGUAGAUAUUAGGAGGAACAUCAGUGGCGAAGGCGACUUUCUGGACUGUACCUGACGUUGAUGCGCGAAAGCGUGGGGAGCAAACGGG